AAGCACCGGGUGGCGUCUCCGCUGUAGUGUUCUGAGUUCAAGUUGCCUCGGAAGUCCCAGUUGGGGAUACGCUCUCGCGCACCAGAGUUGGAUGCUGAAACUUGCAGUCACACAAGGACUUGAACCUAGAGCUUUUCUAAAGCCCGUACUCUUUCCAGUACCCUGAGCCAGGGGAGCCAGCGGGCAGAAAUGACGUGUGAGGUACCCUCUCUCUCUUCACUUCCAUGUGAUCUGUUACUCAUUUUGUCAAGACAUCCUGGGUCCCAGAGACCACUCUUAUUCCCAGGUGUGUGACCUCCUCCUACAGACUACAGUGGGAAAGACACCAUCUCCAGGUGCCAGGUGCUACACAAGAUACUGGCUAUAGCAGCGAACAGGACAGCCCGUCUCAUCCUCAUGGAGGUCACAGGACAAUGAGAAGAAAGACUUUUUUAUUUUUAUUUUUUUGAGACGGAGUUUUGCUCUUGUUGCCGAGGCUGGAGUGCAGUGGUGUGAUCUCGACUCACUGCAACCUCCGCCUCCCAAGUUCAAGCAAUUAUCCUGCCUCAGGCCUCUUGAGUAGCUGGGAUUACAGGCACCUGCCACCACUCCUGGCUAAUUUUUUGUAUUUUUAGUAGAGACAGGGGUUUCAUCAUGUUGGCCAGGCUGGUCUCGAACUCCUGACCUCAGGUGAUCCACCCACCUCGGCCUCCCAAAGUGCAGGGAUUACAGGCAUGAGCCAUCGAACCCGGCCCAAGAAGAAAGACAUUGAACAAGUAAUUACAGGGUAUUGGGUGUUAUGAAAGAAAAGCAUGGUACUGUAUAAUGAGGUCAUCUAAUUUAGUCUGGGGUGACAAGGAAUGCCUACUAAAGAAGGUAUCGUUUAAGACAUACCUGGGGAAUAGCGGUAGUGAAAAUAGAAGCUCCAGAAAUGCAGGGACCAUGGCUGACAUGUUUACCAUGCCAGUGUCUGGCAUGGAAGAGGCCCAAUUCCUUUGGUUGAAAGGAUGAAGUAAUCUAGCUGAAUAAAGGGUGUGUGCGUGCA
ensembl:lncRNA HCG20 HLA complex group 20